rnacentral:tRNA from 1 species
AUGGCAGUAGUUCAAAUGGUAGAACGCCUGUCUCCAAAACAGGAAGUUGUAGGUUCGAGUCCUGCCUGCUAUGC